UACGGAGGGUGCAAGCGUUGUUCGGAAUCACUGGGCGUAAAGCGCGUGUAGGCGGCUAUCUAAGUCUGAUGUGAAAGCCCUGGGCUCAACUCAGGAAGUGCAUUGGAUACUGGAUAGCUGGAGUACCGGAGAGGAGGGUGGAAUUCCUGGUGUAGCGGUGAAAUGCGUAGAUAUCAGGAGGAACACCGGUGGCGAAGGCGGCUCACUGGACCGGAACUGACGCUGAGGCGCGAAAGCGUGGGGAGCAAACAGG
rnacentral:rRNA from 1 species